rnacentral:rRNA from 1 species
UACGGGGGGGGCAAGCGUUGUUCGGAAUUACUGGGCGUAAAGGGCUCGUAGGCGGCCAACUGAGUCAAACGUGAAAUCCCUCGGCUUAACCGGGGAACUGCGCUUGAUACUGGAUGGCUUGAGAUUGGGAGAGGGAUGCGGAAUUCCAGGUGUAGCGGUGAAAUGCGUAGAUAUCUGGAGGAACACCGGUGGCGAAGGCGGCAUCCUGGACCAACACUGACGCUGAGGAGCGAAAGCCAGGGGAGCAAACGGG